rnacentral:lncRNA from 1 species
AUGUGGUUUGAUGAUCGAGUGAUGGUACUGAGGUUCUGGAAGGAUCUAGACAGAGCAAAUCGAACAAGAACACAGGUGGUUUGCGUUGCGUGCAAAACUUUUCACGUUUUCUGUUUUCUCUCCUUCUCUAUUUAUGCUCUCUGCUUACAACUGAAAAAGCUGGAAAAUAGGAUCAACACCCGAGCUUACAGGGCAGUGCCAUCCCACUACCGCUCAGAUCCAUCACCCCUACAAGUUAGCUGACUUAAACAGAUCGAGUCCAUCCCCUCGAGUAUCCAAGGCAACUAAUCUAGACCAAGUCUAAUUUGACUGAAACAAAAUGGCUAACUGAAACUACUGCAGCUAGCCUGCUUAUGUCCGACGAAAAACAACUUCUACACUAGCACUGCACUGAAUUAUUCAACAAUCUCCCCCUAAGACAGAUGCAGUGCGCUUACUGAACCUUGACGACCUUGAUCUUCUCACGAAGCAGUUGGAACCUGACGCGUCCAAGUGCCUUGGUGAAGAUGUCUGCGAGCUGAUCGAUAGUGCCGAUGUACUCAACAGAGACAGUACCUUUGUCGAUGCAGCUUCUGAUGAAGUGGUAACGCACCCCGAUAUGCUUGCUCUUGUCGUGGAAGACAGGGUUCUUGCAUAGUUGAAUCGCCGACUUGUUGUCCACGAGCAGCUUGGCGACGAGGGGAUCACUCCCCAGGAGGUCGCCGAGCAGGCGCCCAAGCCAGACUCCUUGGCAUGCCGCGGUGGCUGCGGCGAUGUACUCUGACUCGCAGGAGGACAGCGAGACGACCUUCUGCUUCUGGCACUGCCACGAGAUUGGGCAAUUCCCGUAGAAGAACAGCGUGCCAGAGGUGCUCUUCCUGUCAUCGACGUCGCCUGCCAUGUCAGCGUCGCUGUACCCGACCAGGUGAGCAUCACCAGUGGUCGAGGUGUAGGAGCAGCCGUUGUCGAUUGUCCCAGCGACGUAGCGGAGCAGGUGCUUCACGGCACUCAUGUGCUCAGUCGUGGGCGCCUCCAUGAAUGGGCUGACCAUGCCAACGGCGAAGCUGAUGUCAGGCCUGGUGUGCAUCAGGUAGCGGAGACUGCCGACGAUGCUGCGGUAGAGAGUGAUGUCGACCGGCGGAUUGGGGCUUUGUUUUGACAGCUUUAGCCUCAGCUCCAUUGGAACGUGAGCUUCAUUGCACUCUGCCAUGCCUACCUUCUCGAGGAGCUUGGCGGCGAAGGCACUCUGCUUGAGAGUGAUGUAGCCAGGCUUCUGCGACACCUCGAUCCCCAAGUACAGAGUGAGAAGGCCAAGGUCACUCAUCUUGAACCUAUCGCACAUCUGCUUCUUGAAAUCGGAGAUGGCGGUGGUGCACGCACCGGUGAUGAUGAGGUCGUCAACGUAGACUCCUAGCAGCAGCCGCGACUUGUCCUUGCCGCGGGUGUACACCGCGUGCUCGGAUGCGCUCCGUUCGAAGCCAAGUGACACCACAACGGCGUCGAGCUUGAUGUUCCAGGCGCGUGGGGCCUGGCGGAGUCCGUACAGCGCCUUAUGCAAGCGCAGCACCUUUCUGUUGUUCUUCCCGUCGAUGGAGCCCGGUGGCUGGCUCACGUACACCUCCUCGCCCAGCUCGCCGUUCAGGACUCGCCCCGCUCGCCGUUCAGGAAUGCCGUCUUCACAUCCAUGUGGUGAACCUGCCACUGGAAUUGAGCGGCGACGGCGAGCAGAAGCCUGACGGAGUCCAGACGCGCAACAGGGGCAAAGACCUCGUCGAAGUCAAUCCCCGGCCGCUGGACGUAGCCCUUCGCGACGAGCCUGGCCUUGUGCUUGAGGAUGUUCCCAUCAGCGUCCUUCUUCAGCUUGUAGAUCCACUUUAGCCCGAUAGGUUUGUGACCAGUGGGGAGAUCCGCCAGCGACUAGGUAGAGUUUUCCUCAAUCGAGGCCAACUCAUCAACCAUGGCCAGCCUCCAGUCCUCAUUGCCUUGAGCUUCAGCGAGCGUCGACGGCUCGCCGGUGGGGGUGAGGAAGAGGCACUCCGUCGGUCCUGGAUUCCCUGCAUCAGAAUCAACGAGAUCCAGCACGCGGCGGUAGCGGUGGAUGCCGGCUGGGUCAACACCAGCGUCGAGGUUAUCCUCGUCUUGCUCGGCCGGUGGAGACACGAAGCGGAUGGGCUGGGCCUUGCUCGCAGUCAUGGGCUUGACUGGGCUUGAAGGCCCAUCGGUGAUGGACGUGGCCCGAGACGGAGGAGUUGGAGCUGGAGACGACGACACGGCAGGCACACUCGAUGUCGGCAUCGGCAUGGUCCAGUUCUCGACUGUGAACGUGGACGCGCCACCGCCGUGCUCCCCCCAGUCCCAGCUUGCGCCCUCGUCGAAGAUGACGUCCCUGGAGACGACGAGCUUCUUCUUUGCUGGAUCAUACAGGCGAUAAGCCUUGCUUCCGUGCUCGUAGCCGAUCAUCACCAUCGGGCGUGAGCGGUCGUCGAGUUUCUUGAGCCCUGGCUUCGUCUCCUUCACGUAGGCCCUGCAACCAAAUACACGCAGGAAGUGUACAUUUGGCUUGCGGCCGUACCAGCCCUCGAAUGGAGUCAUGCCAUCAAGGCUUCUUGUCAGGGACCUGUUCAGCACGAACACUGCAGUCAUGGCAGCCUCUCCCCAGAACUCGGCCGGCACGGACAUGACCUUGAGCAUGCUCCUCGUGGCGCCGACGAUUGUCUGGUUUCUCCUCUCCACUACCCCAUUCUGUUGAGGAGAAUAUGGGGCAGUGAGGUGCCGCUGGACCCCGCGCUCGGCGCACCACUCAGCGAAGUCCAGCGCAGUGAACUCGCCGCCGCGGUCCGUGCGAAGCACUCGGAGCGGCUGCCGAGACUCCUUUUCCGCUUCUGCCUGGAAACGACGGAUUACCGCUGCUGCCUCGUCCUUGGACUUGAGCAGAUUCAUCCACAUGAAGCGGCUGAAAUCGUCGACGAGAAGGAGAAAGUACUUCUUCCCUCCAUGCGUCGGUGGCGAGAUUGGCCCGCACACGUCUCCGUGCAUGAGCUCGAGGGGCGUCGUGGCUCGAAACUUCGCCGCCGCCGGGAACGGAGCACGCCGGUGCUUGCCAGCGAUGCAGGCCUCGCAUAGCUGCUCGACAUGGUCAACCACAGGGAGCCCGCGCACCAUGCCAGUCCUGGACAUCUUCCGGAGGCUGUUGAAGCUCUAGUGUACGAAGCGCGAGUGCCACCGCCAGGCCUCGUCGUCGGUGUGCGCCGCCAGGCACACAGGCUGCACAACUUUCAGGUGUGCUAUGUACAGCCUGUUCUUGGUGUGUGGGACCUUGGCGAUCAGCAGUUUGUCCUGGUCCCGCACCGUCAUGAAACCGUGCUCGACGUGGGUGGGGAAGUCGAGCUCGGCCAGCUGGUCGAUGCUGACGAUGUUGGACUUCAGCUUCGGUAUCCAGUAGACGUUGGCGAGCUCGUGGUGCCGCUCGCCGUUGAAGACAAACAGGACAGUGCCGCGCCCGCAGAUGUUGACGACGGAGCCGUCCCCGAACCGCACCUUGCCUGACACGGCGCGAUCCAGCUCAGCGAAGAUAGCCUCGUCACCAGUCAUGUGGUUCGAGGCCCCCGUGUCGAGGUACCAGGCGGAGUCGACGUCGUCGGGCGCUCGUCGGAGCACAGUGCGUGCGUGCUCCUCGUUGAGGAAUAUGCGCUCCCCCGUCAGCAUCGAGGCGGCCACCACUGGACCAGGCACGACAGGCCCGGCUGCCGUGGCAUGGACAAUCUCCACGACAGUGGCCAUGUGAAGGACGGGCUCCUCGUCGUCCUCAUGCUGCGUGAGGUGGGCCGCCACCGCCGCCUUGUCGCGCUGCUUCUUCCUGCAUUCCCGCGCCCAGUGUCCCUUCUUGCCGCAGUAGCGACAUUUGUCGCGAUCAGGAUCUGUGCUGCCGACGGAUGGUGACGUGCUCUUCUUCGGAGGUGGAUCGGUCUUCCGCGCUCCAGAGCCCUGACUGCGGUCACGCCCACCGCCGUUGCCAGCGGUAUUAUAGCCGCUAGGCCUCCUCUUGCGCACCUCCCACUGCUCCUCCGUCAGCAGCAGGUGGCCGGCGGCGUUCGUGCCGCCCGGCUCGCCGUCAAGUCGUUCCUCGACAGCGCGUAGGUGGCCCACGACCUCCUCAACAGUGAGGGAGGCCGGGUCCAUCAUUGUCUCCAUCGAGAACGCAAUCUGGACGAAACGGCCUGGAACAACGGACAAGAACUUGCGUACUACCUUCUCGUUGUCGCAGGCGUCGCCGAGGGAGCGUAGCAUCGACGCCAGAUUGGAGAUGCGCAUGCCGAAGUCAUCGAUCCGCUCACCGGGCUUGAAUAUGAUCGACUCGAACUCAGUUCUGAGCCGUCGCACGCGAGUGUCGCGCACUCGAUUGGUGCCCUGGUGCUGGACGCGGAUGGCCUCCCAUGCUUUCUUGGCGCUCCCCUUCCCGAUCAGCAUCGGGUGCAUCUCCGGCGGCAUGGAGCGGAGCAGCGCUGCGAGCGCCUGCUUGUCCUCGCGCCGGGAGACGCCGUCGUUCUCAAUCGCGUCCCAGAGCGAGGCGGCCUGCAUGUUCACUUCCAUCACCAGCGCCCGGGUGGUGUAUUCCCCCCGCUUCAGCAUUGGGAAGACGAGGCCUGCACCGCCGCCAACACCGCUCAUCUCGCGCACCACCUCCCGCUGCACUACAACCUCUCCUCCUCCGCGCCGUGCCCUGCUCCGUCCCCGACUCUGCGAGCGCCGUCGCUGUGCAGCCGGAGGAGGGGUCACUGAAUCGCGCGAGGCCGGUCGGGUGUUGCCGGUGUGCUGGACAGUGGGUGGAGUGUUCGCCAUUGGUCUGCCCUAAGGCUCUGAUACCAACUGAAGUUCUGGAAGGAUCUAGACAGAGCAAAUCGAACAAGAACACAGGUGGUUUGCGUUGCGUGCAAAACUUUCCACUUUUUCUGUUUUCUCUCCUUCUCUAUUUAUGCUCUCUGCUUACAACUGAAAAAGCUGGAAAAUAGGAUCAACACCCGAGCUUACAGGGCAGUGCCAUCCCACUACCGCUCAGAUCCAUCACCCCUACAAGUUAGCUGACUUAAACAGAUCGAGUCCAUCCCCUCGAGUAUCCAAAGCAACUAAUUUAGACCAAGUCUAAUUUGACUGAAACAAAAUGGCUAACUGAAACUACUGCAGCUAGCCUGCUUAUGUCUGACGAAAAACAACUUC